GCGACGAUGCGUAGCCGAACUGAGAGGUUGAUCGGCCACACUGGGACUGAGACACGGCCCAGACUCCUACGGGAGACAGCAGUUAGGAAUAUUCGUCAAUGGGGGAAACCCUGAACGAGCAAUGCCGCGUGAAUGAAGAAGGCCCUAUGGGUUGUAAAAUUCUGUUGUAUGGAAAGAAAUGUAAAGUUAGGAAAUGAACUUUACUUGACGGUACCAUUCAAGAAAGCCACGGCUAACUACGUGCCAGCAGCCGCGGUAAUACGUAGGUGGCGAGCGUUAUCCGGAUUUAUUGGGCGUAAAGGGUGCGUAGGCGGUAUGUUAAGUAUAAAAUAAAAGCCCGAAGCUUAACUUCGGUUCGUUUUAUAAACUGGCAAACUAGAGUACAGUAGAGGCAAAUGGAAUUCCUAGUGUAGUGGUAAAAUGCGUAGAUAUUAGGAGGAACACCAGUGGCGAAGGCGAUUUGCUGGGCUGUAACUGACGCUGAGGCACGAAAGCGUGGGGAGCAAAUAGGAUUAGAUACCCUAGUAGUCCACGCCGUAAGCGAUGAGUACUAAGUGUCGGGAAACCGGUGCUGAAGUUAACACAUUAAGUACUCCGCCUGAGUAGUACGGUCGCAAG
rnacentral:rRNA from 1 species